CUGCGUACCACUAAGCCGCCGCCACAGAAUAGACGAAGGUAACUAAAGCACUACGAGGAGGAAAACGACACCACAAGAGGCUCGGAACACGGAGGGAAGAAGGGUGUUGCUCCAACGUUCAGAGAACGAGAACUGAGAUGUUUCUUUCGUAGUUUACUAAGCAGCCAACCAUUUAGACGACAACAUGAAGGGAUAACCAGAGCUACCAGCGACCAAAAGCAAACAGCACACAUAGCUUCUAUCUCGAAAAUACAAAGAACUGAGUCGCAAACCUCUCUUGAGUUGCAUAGUAUCUCUAUAGAUACUACUCGACCACUAAAAAGAACGUACUAACACCACAGAAGUGAGACUUCAUAUACCUCUAGAAGUGUGGUUCUUGAAUCUACCGUUUAGAAAAGAGGUUACAUAAGCUUUAGAAUCCUAGUUUAUACACUUACUGUACAAAAAGUCGGGGAACCUGUCGACGCUGUUUAGAAACAGUGACGAAAGAAACCGUUACAUACAAGAAUAAAAGGAACAGGAGAUAAAGUAAAAGAAAAGAGGAAUAAUCGAAAAAAAGAAACGGAUAAGACCAGAGAAACUAAAAAAACACAUCCCUCCGUUACGGUUCACUCCAAGUCGUACACGUGUCAGGAUCGAGUUAACCACCUACUCAAGGGGAAAACUCAUCGUAUAUUGUAUCUUGGUGAUCACGUUUAGUAAACCUAAUAACUACCUAAAUGUUCCAGAAAAAUCACCUAAAUUUCACCGUAGAAAUUACGUAGAACGUGAGAUUAAGAAUCAUCAAUUAGAAUCGUCAAAAAAGUCACGUUUGGUAAACCUAACAACCAUCUAAAUGUCACAGUAAAAUCACCUAAAAUGUCACAUUAAAAUUACGUAGAAUGUGACAUUAAGAAUCACCCGUACUAUCUUUCAUAACAGCUAAAAUCACCUAAAAUGUCGUUUAAAGAACCACCAUUAUAAUAACAUUAAUAUGAAGAAACAGUUACAUUAAAAAUCCACUGUAGUAG
rnacentral:rRNA from 1 species